rnacentral:rRNA from 1 species
AUACGGAGGGUGCAAGCGUUACUCGGAAUCACUGGGCGUAAAGCGCGCGCAGGCGGCUAUUUAAGUUGGAUGUGAAGGCCUACGGCUCAACCGUAGAACUGCAUCCAAGACUAUUUAGCUUGAGUGUGGGAGAGGAAGAUGGAAUUAGUUGUGUAGGGGUAAAAUCCGUAGGGAUAACUAGGAAUACCAAAAGCGAAGGCAAUCUUCUGGAACACUACUGACGCUGAGGCGCGAAAGCGUGGGGAGCAAACGGGAUUAGAUACCCUUGUAGUCC